AAAACAUUUUGGGACGAAACCUCGCUACUGAACAGCUGUACAACACACGAAGGCCCACCUGUUGUAAGGAGUUCCAAUCAGAUCUCCUUCACCCCCAAUCCUGGUCUAACACACCUGCAGACUUUUGGGGACAGAUCCUUCAGUGUGGCAGCCCUCCCCCUCUGGAAGUCUCUCCUGGCAGAGAUCUGCAACACUGUAUCACCAACACAAAUGCAAAGCAGCAGCUUGUGACAGGGAGGUCAGCCCGGUUCCCCGGUGAGCCCGGGAUACUCCGUGCAGCCGCACAAACAAACAGAACAAACAUUUCAAGGAAAGAGAGUGAAUUGAGAUCCGUUAGCUCAGGGGGGGGCGGCGGUGUUGUUCUGCUGGUGUAGCUCACUCGCCCAAACACGGACCAAUUUACCGGAGGAAAAUUGUGCUGUGGUUGAACAAAAAUAAAAAAAUUAAAUAAAUAAAAAGCA
ensembl:lncRNA